AGCAUGCAAGUCUAGGGGUUUUCAGUUAGCAAUAAUUGGAAGCACAGGCGCACGGGUGAGUAACACGUGAGAAUCUACCUUGAGAAGGGGGAUAGCCGAUAGAAAUAUCGGGUAAUACCGCGUAUGCCGAGAGGUGAAAGUUGCUUUUGCAACGUCUUGAGAUGAUCUUGCGUCCCAUUAGCUAGUUGGUAGGGUAAAGGCCUACCAAGGCGACGAUGGGUAGCCGGCCUGAGAGGGUGUACGGCCACAUUGGGACUGAGACACGGCCCAGACUCCUACGGGAGGCAGCAGCUAAGAAUAUUCCGCAAUGGGAGAUAUCCUGACGGAGCGACGCCGCGUGGACGAAGAAGGCAGAAAUGUAGUAAAGUCCUUUUAUACGGGAAGAAUAAGGCUAUCGAGAGAAACUUUAGCCGAUUACGGUACCGUAUGAAUAAGCCACGGCUAACUACGUGCCAGCAGCCGCGGUAAUACGUAGGUGGCAAGCGUUGUUCGGAAUUAUUGGGCGUAAAGGGCAUGUAGGCGGUUAGAUAAGUGUGGAUUGAAAGACCAUGGCUUAACCAUGAGUUUGGUCUGCAAACUGUCUGGCUAGAGUGCAGUAGGGGUAACUGGAAUUCCGCGUGUAGGGGUGAAAUCUGUAGAUAUGCGGAAGAAUACUUGUGGCGAAGGCGAGUUACUGGGCUGCUACUGACGCUGAAAUGCGAAAGUGUGGGGAGCAAACAGGAUUAGAUAUCCUGGUAGUCCACACUGUAAACGUUGUACACUAGGUGUCAAGGGUAUCGACCCCUUUGGUGCCGAAGCUAACGCGAUAAGUGUACCGCCUGGGGAGUAUGCUCGCAAGGGUGAAACUCAAAGGAAUUGACGGGGGCCCGCACAAGCGGUGAGUAUGUGGUUUAAUUCGAUGAUACGCGAAAAACCUUACCAGGGUUUGACAUACACAUGACAGAUUCAGAGAUGAGUCCUUUUCUUCGGAAACAUGUGUACAGGUGCUGCAUGGCUGUCGUCAGCUCGUGUUGUGAGAUGUUGGGUUAAGUCCCGCAACGAGCGCAACGCUUACUGUUAGUUGCCAUCAGGUAUGCUGGGAACUCUAACGGAACUGCCGGUGACAAACCGGAGGAAGGUGGGGAUGACGUCAAGUCCUCAUGGCCCUUAUGUCCUGGGCUACACACGUACUACAAUGGGCUGUACAAAGGGUCGCAAUCUCGCAAGAGGGAGCCAAUCCCAAAAAGCAGUCCGUAGUUCAGAUUGGAGUCUGCAACUCGACUCCAUGGAG
rnacentral:rRNA from 1 species